UGCCAGCCGCCGCGGUAAGACGAACCGUACAAACGUUAUUCGGAAUUACUGGGCUUAAAGGGUGCGUAGGCGGUGUGGCAAGUUGGGUGUGAAAUCCCUCGGCUCAACCGAGGAACUGCGCUCAAAACUGCCAUGCUAGAGGGAGACAGAGGUGAGCGGAACUUAAGGUGGAGCGGUGAAAUGCGUUGAUAUCUUAAGGAACACCGGUGGCGAAAGCGGCUCACUGGGUCUCUUCUGACGCUGAGGCACGAAAGCUAGGGUAGCGAACGGGAUUAGAUA
rnacentral:rRNA from 1 species